GAUGAACGCUAGCUACAGGCUUAACACAUGCAAGUCGAGGGGUAACGAGAGGGAAGCUUGCUUUCCUUGUCGACGACCGGCGGAUGGGUGAGUAACGCGUAUCCAACCUGCCCUUCAGUAAGGGAUAGCCUUUCGAAAGAAAGAAUAAUACCUUAUGUGGUCGUCAGAAGACAUCAGACGACGAUCAAAGAUUUAUCGCUGAAGGAUGGGGAUGCGUCCCAUUAGGCAGUAGGCGGGGUAACGGCCCACCUAACCUACGAUGGGUAGGGGUUCUGAGAGGAAGGUCCCCCACAUUGGAACUGAGACACGGUCCAAACUCCUACGGGAGGCAGCAGGGAGGAAUAUUGGUCAAUGGCCGUAAGGCUGAACCAGCCAAGUAGCGUGCAGGAUGACGGCCCUAUGGGUUGUAAACUGCUUUUAAACGGGGAUAAAGUGAGCCACGUGUGGUUUAUUGCAGGUACCGUUUGAAUAAGGACCGGCUAAUUCCGUGCCAGCCGCCGCUGUAA
rnacentral:rRNA from 1 species